rnacentral:misc_RNA from 1 species
AAGUCGUAACAAGGUUUCCGUAGGUGAACCUGCGGAAGGAUCAUUAUCACGUAUCCAAACGUAUAAACCCAAUGUGCACCUAUAAAAUUCCUCCGCUGGAAAUCAAGUGGCAGAGAAGUUGAUAUUCUGAUUCAUGGUCUUUCAGAAUUCUCUGUCGUGAUUCUCUUUAUUGAGUUUCAGCCUUCUACUCCGGGAGUCGUAUCAAACCAUGCUUGUUUUACUAAACAACUUGUACCUUUCUGAACUAACUUUGGUUGGAAAAAAAUAACAGUAUCUUCGGAUGCUUGUUGUUUUUUGAUAACCUUGAUUUAUAUAAACUCUGAACUACUCUUAACAACGGAUAUCUUGGUUCUC